UAAUUAAAACAAUUAUUAAAUUAAUUCUACAAUUAACUAACAAUUAAAACAAAGCAAAGUUCUAACCAAGAUAAUGGACUAUAAGGAAAACAACAUGGGCCUCAAAUGAGAAGCCCAAUCCGUGAGGGUGCAGCGUUGAAAAACGGGGUAUUGAAGGAAAUUGGGCGUUGAAGUCCAAUCCAAGGCCCACCGACCACGGUCUUCACCAACAGGGGGAGCAAGACUUAAUGUAAGGGUGCAAAGUAGUAGUUCUAUGGGCUUUGGACCAAUCUGCUUCAUCAAAGGAAGUCCACAUUCCUUCUCACGUGCCAGAUCACACUCUCUCUUUUCAAACGCUCCCUCCAAACACUGGCCAACGAACCAAGCCUCCGUCGCGCCGGAGCUCAUCGCCGGCAGUGGCGGAGCUCCAAACAUGAAAUCCAGAUACCAAAACGGUCCUCUCCACCUCACGGUUCAGAAUCCUCAAACCACGUAUCCUAAUUCUAAACUCAUAAGCCGAAUCGCAACCGAACAUGUAUGAACCCUAAGCUAAUCUGUCAACAAUUAAACGCGAUAUAAUGGAAAUCAAACACCAGCAGGUUAGGGCUUCGAUCUCCCUAACCUGAUACUACACUAUGGCAAUCAAAUUUGAUAAGGAGCACAUGGAUUAAGUAAAUUACCUGCCAGAGACGAAGACGGAGAUGGCGAAGGCGAUGACAACGAUCACAGGACACAUGCUGACAUGGUUGCUGAAUUGGUACUACACACACCAUCUACUUUGCAUUGUAGAGGUUAACCCAAGGACUGCAUAGGUUAGGCUUGUAAGCUUCAUUGCAGGUUGCAUUUUAUCUCUUAUUCAGGACACAAUUGUACUGAUGUGGGGGUUUCUUCAGGUAUGAUACCUACUGAUUUGGUUUGGAUUAUUUGUGGACCUGUUUUAGUGUGGGUUAGCAAAAAAUGGUUUUGUUUUGUGGUUUCUGAACUACUAUGUGAUGUAGUGUUGUUGCUUAUUGGUACACACAAAUGAUGUUAUUUGCUAGCUAGAUAGAUGCAUUGAUAUGGCUUGAACGAUUUUGGAACUUGGCUUGAUAGUAGGUCUGUGCUGGUAUGCUUCUACCCUUGAUUGUAUAGGUGGCUCAAGAUAAAAAAUACAAGGUUUCAAGCCAUUGACAUUGUUCUGCAGUAGGCUAGCUGAACACCUUGUCAUGAACCAAUAUGUGCAAGGCCUUGGCUUCAUAUGAUCCCACAGGAUCCCAUUAGCUGCCCUUUUACAUGGUCCUGCAGGUUUUGCAGCAGGAUGCUCUGCCUGGAUUCAAUGACAUUGUUUGUGGCAGCUUGGUAUGCAACUGAUUCAGGGCUUAUGAUGGUGGUUAAAGGGUCGAGUGGAGAUUGAGGCAGAUGGCAUAACAGGUAUGCAUCCAGUAGGUAAUCACUGCCAGUCUGUAGCAUGACUGCAGCUUUAGGUUCAUGGCCAAUAUAGAUAGGCAUAUGCUGGCUGGUGGAAUGGAUUUAAGAUGUUCAGCUUGGUGCCACUAUUGAAUUUACCUGGUCAUGCACAGUAGGUUGGUAUUGUCUAUGAUAGAAAUGCAAAUUCAUUCAUGGUCUGAUUGGUUAGAAUGUAUUGCAACAAGGUGUUGCAAUAUUUUGCAAUAUUUCAUGACACGCUGGAUGUGGUUCUGCUGGUGAGAUUCAGUUGCUGCAGAGUUGAUGGUUUGUGACACUUCCUUGACAUAACUUCUGCAAGGUUCAUGGCUGGAUGUGGCAGGCUAACAUUUGCAUGUUUUAUGGCUUUAAUUUCAUGGCAUUGCUAACUGGUGGUAUAGAUUUGGUUAGGCUACAUGCUUUUGACCUUAGUGUGUCUUCCCUUGUUUGCUUCAUUAGCACAGUUUUGCAGCAUAUGGUCAUACACUCAUGGAGGAUUGUGGGACAAAGGCUUAAAACAUGAUGACAUCAAGUUUGCACUUUGAAGUAUCAAUGACAAAUGGCAAAGACCAAGGAUCAAGAGUGAACUUUUGGAGAUUAGAAAGGGAUUUAGGAUUUUAGAAUGUAAAAUGGUUGAGUUGACUUUGGUCAAAGUUGACCAAAAAGUCAACCAUUGACCAAAGUCAACAAUUGGUCAACACACCCCUUUUUUAAUUCUUUUCCAUGUAAUGAACUUUUUAUGAUCAUGUAAUGAAUGACAUUUCCUUAUUUGAAUGAAAUUGGAUUGGCAUUUGAAGGAA